UAUCGUGAUACAUAUUCAUAUUCGCUACCCAAUGUAGUCGUUGCAGCUCUAGCUUAGUGUUGAAACUACAUGUACAUGCAUAUUUUCAGUAUUCUCGAUGAAUGGGUGUUUGCCAAAUUGAAGGGAAUUCCUUCAACUAUGCGAUGGCCUGUUCAGGUGCUAAAAACCAGUUCAGAUGGUAAUAUAGAUGUUUUCUGCAAGUCAGAUUAUGCUGUAAUCCUUGGCAAAAAAGAAAGCAUUAUUACAGUGUUUCCUUACAGAUUUACAGUUGGCCUCUGAUAAUUUGUUGCGAAAGAAGAAGGAAAAAAGGAGCCGAAACAAGAAAGAGAUUAUUCUAAGAUCAAAUUGCAGUAAAUUAAAAAUAUUAUAGUAAAGGUAAAGCUAUUGUACAUUCUCCUAGCAUUUGUCUUUCCUUACAAUCCUGUCGUAGCCAUUA